AAACUUUCAAUAGGAAAAGUCAUAGACAAAUAACAUCUGUCAUGUCAAUAUUUAACUUCAUACUCAUAUUUUCGCUGUAAAUUCUUUCGUGAACUUUAAAAGCUUCAAAUCCGUAAUCAACAUGUAAUAUUUUCUUCGAAAAACCCAAAACAAGAUGGAAAUGAUGGAAUGAAAAGUAGUCAAAAGAAUCAGGAAAAAUGGUACAGUACUUUACAAUUUUUGGAAACAUUUUAUGGUGGUGUUAUUUCGUAAUAACUUCUUUUUUCGAAACUUCAAUACUUUGUGCUAAAUUUUACAUUGUGGCAAACUUCUUGGAGGUUUUCAUUCCAACUUUGCAGCCUGCUUCAGAAUUCUUCUUAGAAUUGGUACAGUAUCCGCAUUAUUGUGCCAAAAAGUUGAAAGCUAGAUGCUGCCUACUGAAGAAUCCUUUCUAAAAUGGCCACAAUUGGGAGAAAUAUAUUUUUCAUCGGAGUAUAUCACUAAAUAUUGUGUUUCGAGCUAUUUUUGGGGGAAUGAAGUUGAUUGAGAAUAAUUUGAGACAAACUGAUUUGAAUUUUUCAGGUGUUCUCAAUUUUGAUUUCUACCAGUGCACAAUUGUUAUCAAGAUUACAACUCUAAAGAUGUUUUUCCAUUAAAAAAUAUAUUUCAGCAGAUA